UUUCUUUUAGGCUUCGUUUGGUUCAGAUAUAAGUAAGAGCUAACUUGUACUAGAAAUAGAUACAAGUUUAGAUAUAAGCGAGAACUAUACCAACUUUGUGUUUGAAUGAAAAUUUGGUUGUUCCCGAAAAUAAGAAAAAUAUCGUUUGGAUAAGUAAGAUGGAAUAAGAAGAAUAGUUGAUACUUAUAAAUAGAAAAUAAUGGUAUUAUCCCUCUCAUUAUAUUUGAAUUUAAAUUUUUAAUUUCAAAAUUUAAAAUUUUAACUUUUAAAAUUUAAAAUUUGAAAUUAAAAUUUAAAAUUUUAAUUUUCAAAAUUUUAAUUUUAAAUAUCAAAAUUUAAAUUUAAGGCCAAAUUUAAAUUUGAAAGAUAUAAAAUAUCAAAUUUUAAAUUUAAAACUUAAAAAUAUCAAAUUUAAAAAUUAAAAAUUAAAAAUAUCAAAUUAAAAAUUUAAAAUUCAAAAUUUAGAAUUUUAAAUUAUAAAUUUAAAUUUUAAAUUUUAAAUUUUAAAAAUUUAAAUUCUAAUUUAAAACAAAAAUCUCUCUCCGUAGUUGUUCCCACCCAUCCAUUUUUUUGUUUG
rnacentral:lncRNA from 1 species